rnacentral:rRNA from 1 species
CUGGUUGAUCCUGCCAGUAGUCAUAUGCUUGUCUCAAAGAUUAAGCCAUGCACGUGUUAGAUCAUUUGGUAAGAAGCAAUUUUUAUGAACAAUAAUCUGCGGAUGGCUCAAGAUAACAGUUAUAAACUUGGCUAUCAGCCUUUUAUACGGAUAACACCGUCAAAUGCGGUGAUAAUACGUGUCCACGAAACCCUAGCGGGUUGACGAUGUGAUAAUUGGAAAAUGUCGCAUCAGCAGAUAGCGGCCUUCGGGCUGUUAUUAUAGACAACGUUAGUUGCCUGAAAGAGGUAUUUCUAACUUAUCAGGUACGUUGUUUCAGUAAGGGUGAAACAAGCCGACCACGAGUACGGCGAAUCAGUGUUCGAUUCCGGAGAGGGAGCCUGAGAGAUGGCUACUACAUCUAAGGAUGGCAGCAGGCGCGAAAAUUACCCAAUACAAAUUCUGUGAGGUAGUGACAAGAUAUAACGACCUUACAUUUUCGCAAUGGAAGGGUACCGUGUUAAAAGCGGUUUGGAAUGUUUCUAGUUCAAAACCCUAUUAGAGUAACAAUUGGAGGACAAGUCUGGUGCCAGCACCCGCGGUAAUUCCAGCUCCAAAAGCAUAUACUAAAAUUGCUGUAGUUAAAACGCUCGUAGUUGAUAUAAGAACGGCUCUUGAACAACCUGCCUGUUCUUCUCUGUGUGUUAAGGUAGCAAUACCUGAAGCAUGCUUAAAAUGGGUCCUGCUAAUAACAGGAUCUGGGGGAUAGGUCUCCGGCGUAUCAAACUGGUCGGGUAAUGUCAGUCUUCUUCCGUUACCCAAUCGGGCGUAGGUUAAACGAAAGUCGCUUCGGCUUAAACCGUGAACAAAUUAGUGUGCUUAAAACAAGCAGCGUGAAGAAUUGCCUUCUGGUAGUUCUUUGAGCUUGAAUAAUUUAGCAUGGUACUUCAACUCCCGCAAGGGAAUGAUAACAGAAGGGAUCAAGGACUCUGGUAUUGCGCGUCUAGAGGUGAAAUUCCGAUAUUUUCGCAAGACGAACGGAGGCGUAAGCGGUCGUGUCCAUUGUGUCUUCAUUGAUCAGGAACGAGAGUCAGGGGAUCGAAGAUGAUUAGAUACCGUCGUAGUCCUGACUGUAAACGAUGCCAACUCAAGUUCAAGUGUGAUACACUUUAUCGAUCUUCUUGGAAUUGACGGGAAACCAUUAAGUCAUUGGGUUCUGGGGGGAGUAUGGUCGCAAGGCUGAAACUUAAAGGAAUUGACGGAA